rnacentral:rRNA from 1 species
CCUACGGGUGGCAGCAGUAGGGAAUAUUGCUCAAUGGAGGAAACCCUGAAGCAGCAAUGCCGCGUGGAGGAUGAAGGUUUUCGGAUUGUAAACUCCUUUUGUUAGAGAAGAUAAUGACGGUAUCUAACGAAUAAGCACCGGCUAACUCCGUGCCAGCAGCCGCGGUAAUACGGAGGGUGCAAGCGUUACUCGGAAUCACUGGGCGGAAAGAGCGCGUAGGCGGGAUAGCAAGUCAGAUGUGAAAUCCUAUGGCUUAACCAUAGUACUGCAUUUGAAACUGUUAUUCUAGAGUAUGGGAGAGGUAGGUGGAAUUCUUGGUGUAGGGGUAAAAUCCGUAGAGAUCAAGAGGAAUACUCAUUGCGAAGGCGACCUGCUAGAACAUAACUGACGCUGAUGCGCGAAAGCGUGGGGAGCAAACAGGAUUAGAUACCCUUGUAGUC